GCGAACGCUGGCGGCAGGCUUAACACCUGCAAGUCGAGCGGGCACUUUCGGGUGUCCGCGGCGGACGGGUGAGUAACGCGUGGGAACGUGCCCUCUGGUUCGGAAUAACUCAGGGAAACUUGAGCUAAUACCGGAUACGCCCUUUUGGGGAAAGGCUUGCUGCCGGAGGAUCGGCCCGCGUCUGAUUAGCUAGUUGGUGAGGUAACGGCUCACCAAGGCGACGAUCAGUAGCUGGUCUGAGAGGAUGAUCAGCCACACUGGGACUGAGACACGGCCCAGACUCCUACGGGAGGCAGCAGUGGGGAAUAUUGGACAAUGGGCGCAAGCCUGAUCCAGCCAUGCCGCGUGAGUGAUGAAGGCCUUAGGGUUGUAAAGCUCUUUUAUCCGGGACGAUAAUGACGGUACCGGAGGAAUAAGCCCCGGCUAACUUCGUG
rnacentral:rRNA from 1 species